UAGCGAAGGGGGCUAGCGUUGCUCGGAAUCACUGGGCGUAAAGGGUGCGUAGGCGGGUUUCUAAGUCAGAAGGUGAAAGCCUGGAGCUCAACUCCAGAACUGCCUUUGAUACUGGAAGUCUUGAGUAUGGCAGAGGUGAGUGGAACUGCGAGUGUAGAGGUGAAAUUCGUAGAUAUUCGCAAGAACACCAGUGGCGAAGGCGGCUCACUGGGCCAUUACUGACGCUGAGGCACGAAAGCGUGGGGAGCAAACAGG
rnacentral:rRNA from 1 species